UCAUCGGCGUAGAGUGAGUCGGCCCCUAAGGCGAGGCAGAGAUGCGUAGCUGAUGGGAAACAGGUCAAUAUUCCUGUACCGAUGUGUAGUGCGAUGUGGGGACGGAUCUUAAUAAGUCAUCCGGGUGUUGGAUAUCCCGGUUUAGCUGGAUGUAGGCGAUGGGUAGGCAAAUCCGCCCGUCAUAUACCGAGGCCAGCGAUCGAGCAAGCUUGCUUGUGAAGUGACCGAACGAGGUUCCAGGAAAAGCCACUAAGCUUCAGCUGCACACGACCGUACCGCAAACCGACACUGGUGCGCGAGAUGAGUAUUCUAAGGCGCUUGAGAGAACUCGGGAGAAGGAACUCGGCAAAUUGACACCGUAACUUCGGAAGAAGGUGUGCCCUAUUAGUGUGACGCGAACAGCGGAGCAUGAACGGGUUGCAAAGAAUCGGUGGCUGCGACUGUUUAUUAAAAACACAGCACUCUGCAAACACGAAAGUGGACGUAUAGGGUGUGACGCCUGCCCGGUGCUGGAAGAUUAAAUGAUGGGGUGCAAGCUCUUGAUUGAAGUCCCAGUAAACGGCGGCCGUAACAAUAACGGUCCUAAGGUAGCGAAAUUCCUUGUCGGGUAAGUUCCGACCUGCACGAAUGGCGUAACGAUGGCCACACUGUCUCCUCCCGAGACUCAGCGAAGUUGAAAUUUUGUGAUGAUGCAAUCUCCCCGCGGAAAGACGGAAAGACCCCAUGAACCUUUACUGUAGCUUUGUAUUGGACUUUGAACAGAUCUGUGUAGGAUAGGUGGGAGGCUUUGAAGCAGGGUCGCUAGAUCUUGUGGAGCCAACGUUGAAAUACCACCCUGGUGUGUUUGAGGUUCUAACCUAGGUCCAUUAUCUGGAUCGGGGACCGUGCAUGGUAGGCAGUUUGACUGGGGCGGUCUCCUCCCAAAGCGUAACGGAGGAGUUCGAAGGUACGCUAGUUACGGUCGGACAUCGUGACGAUAGUGCAAUGGCAUAAGCGUGCUUAACUGCGAGACUGACAAGUCGAGCAGAUGCGAAAGCAGGACAUAGUGAUCCGGUGGUUCUGUAUGGAAGGGCCAUCGCUCAACGGAUAAAAGGUACUCUGGGGAUAACAGGCUGAUACCGCCCAAGAGUUCAUAUCGACGGCGGUGUUUGGCACCUCGAUGUCGGCUCAUCUCAUCCUGGGGCUGUAGCCGGUCCCAAGGGUAUGGCUGUUCGCCAUUUAAAGAGGUACGUGAGCUGGGUUUAAAACGUCGUGAGACAGUUUGGUCCCUAUCUUCCGUGGGCGCUGCAGAUUUGAGGAAGCCUGCUCCUAGUACGAGAGGACCGGAGUGGACACACCUCUGGUGUAUCGGUUGUCACGCCAGUGGCAUUGCCGAGUAGCUAUGUGUGGAAGAGAUAAACGCUGAAAGCAUCUAAGCGUGAAACUCGUUUCAAGAUGAGAUCUGCCGGGGCCUUGAGCCCCCUGAAGAGUCGUUCGAGACUAGGACGUUGAUAGGCAGGGUGUGGAAGCGCAGUAAUGCGUUAAGCUAACCUGUACUAAUUGCUCGUGUGGCUUGACU
rnacentral:rRNA from 1 species